ensembl:lncRNA
CUCUCCUCUCAAUUUUGCUGUGAGCCUAAAACUGCUCUUAAAAAAUAGUCUAUUUGGCAACAAACGAGAAACCAAAACAUCAGACGAAGCAGGACAUAAAAUAGUAUAGCAUAACAUGAACUUAGACCAGAGAAAAGGACACUACAAUGUUAAUAGUCACUAUCUCUGGAUGGUGAAAUUAUUGACUAAUUUUAUGUUUUAUUUUGUCUUUCCAAAUCUUCUAUAAAGAAUAUGUAUUACUUAGAUAAUCAACAGCAACAAUAUUUAUUUUUCAGCAAGAGGAAAUGAAAGAGCACAGAAUUGAACUCAGGACUGAAUUCAGUCAAGGCUCUACCCCUUACCAGCUUUGUGGCCUGGCAAGGCAUUUAGCAUUGCAAACUAUUUCUGCACCUGUAAAAUGAGGACCAUAAAACCCGCCCCACAAUGGUUUGUGUGUGUGUGUUUAUGUGCACGGAUAAAACUAUAUACGGCAUUUGAAUGUGCAAGGCACCUAGAGGAUGCUCAAUAUGGAUUAAUUUCUGAGCCCUUUAAAGAUACCUGGAUGUCUAUGGGUUUCAAGAACACUUUGCUGAGCAUACACAAAGCCUUUUGUUUAUCUGUCUCCCUUUCCCAUCCUGAGAUUCCUGCUGAAACAAACGACCAGGCCCAGGGCAGCCCACGCCCACAUCUGCCAAGCUCCUCCAUCUUGGAGGAGAGAAGGGAGCCGGAGCAAGGAAGCUGUAGUACUUUUCUACUUUGAAAACCCCAGAAAGUCCAAGGCUCUGGAACCAGCUGAUUUUUGUCCUUUACUCCCUCUGCCAUCCUUUAAACAUGUUUCUGUGCUUCCUGUCCCAGCCUGAGGGAGAGGCCAAGGGUACACGUCGCCAGAAAAUAGCUGCAGGGCCAGUCUUGCAGGAGGAUUUGGAUACAGAACGGAACGGGCUUUUGACAGACAAGGAGGAGACUGUUGCCGGCAUGGGGCAGCCAGGAAGGGUGCCCAGAGCCACAAGGAGGACAGGAACAAAGGACUUAGUCUCCCAACAAGCCUGGGCCAAAGCAGGCAGAAUUGGGGUGUCAUGAGUGGAAGGCAAGCUGGCCCCCUCCAGCCAAGAGUGGGGUGUGGAAUGUGAAAGGAAGGUGAACGGAAUGUAACGAAGGGACUUCGGUUCUUUUUCACAUUCAGUGUUACUCUGAAGCAUUCCAAACAUGGCGGGAACAGAGCUUGCUCGGAAAGGAUUGUUAUCUGAGACCAGGGCAGGAUGGAAGGAGGGGGAGGCGCUCACGGUGGGGGUGAUGGCUGACGGCUCAAGAGAGCAUUCCAGCUUGGAGAUAAGUGGAGGCAGAAGGUCAGGGAUGAGUCAAGGGAAGGCUGCAGAACUGCUGGUUUCACUCCUGAUGUGAGUGGAAAUGAGAAAUGUAGAAUCGUUGACAUUUUAAAUGGAUGGACCAUGGAUGUUAUGGAGGACGCCAAGAGUAAACUCACUUUGAAAUGCCUGAGAGGUGGGUGAGUCAUUUCUGAGCCUAUUGGAUCAUUCUGUUGCAGACUCUCCUUGACCUUCCAGGCUUGCUAUCUUAACUCACCAAAAUGUUGUUUUGAAGGCGCAAGCAGGGCCUUUGUACUUGCUGUUCCCUCUGACGGAAUGCUCUUCCCCAGAUCUCAGCAUGGCCCGCCCCAUUACCUCUCACCAUCAGCCUUUUGUUCAAAUGCCACCUUCACAGUAAAACUUUCUGUUAUAGGCUGAAUUGUGUCCCCACAAAAGAUGCUGAAGUCCUAACCUCCAGUACCUGUGAAUAUGACCUUAUUUGAAUAAGGUGUUUGCAGAUGAUCAAGGUAAGAUGAAGUCAUUCAUUAGGAUGGGCCCCUAAUCCACUAUGCCUGAUGUUCUUAUAGAGAGGGGAAAUUUGAAAAUAAAAAAGUAUAUAAAUUAGGAAAAGAGAAAGGGAAAAUUUAAGCACAGAGACAGACACACACAAAGGAAGAUAAUGUGAAGACACAGAAAGGAGACAGCCAUCUACCAGCCAGGGGACACCUGAGGUUACCAGAAGCUGGGAGACAGACAUGGACCCAAUUCUCCCUUACUGCCCUCAGAGGGAACAAACCCUGCUGGCACCUUGACUUCAGGCUUCUGUGAGACGGCACACUUCCUUUGUGUAAGCCACCGAGUUUGUCGUACUUUAUUAUAGCAGCCCCAGCGAGCUAAGACGCCUUCCUAGACCCAUACUAUUUAAAAGUGCACUCUCUGUACCCCUUCUUUUCUCGAGUACUGUCAAACAGCAUAGAUGUGGCUAUUUGGAUACUUGCUCAAGUAUUUCUUUAUAGUUGGUCUCCCUCCGCUGGAAUGUAAGCAUCACGGAAGAGAAGACUUUUGUAGAUUUUCUUCAUGGAUUCCUAGCACCCAGAAUCAGUCCUGUCUUUACGCCCGUCAUGCUGUGGGAGGCCCUCUCUGGCCCUCCUCCAGCCCUGCCCCGCCCCACCCGGUGAGGAGUCUGUGCAGUCAAGCGGAUGUGCUUUCUUGAUGUACGUAGUCCAAUUUGGUCAACACUUACUGACUGCUCACAUUUCAUAAUAGAAAUAGUUUACUUUUCUGGUAGAGUUCUUAAUAGAAUCCUUGAUGUGAAAAGUUGAAAGAGGUCCUCAUUGAUUAUCAUGUCUAAACCCCAAUUAUAUUAGUCAGGACUCUUUGUUGCAAGUAACAGAAAAUCUAACCCCAACUGGUUUACAGAAUAAAGGGAAUUUACUGGCUCAUGUAACUUAAAAGUCCAGAUAUAUGGUGGUUUCCAGGCAAACCUUGAUCCCAGGCUCAGUCAUCUCAACAAUGGUUUGGUUUAUUAUCAUGUCUUUCUCUGCCUUCCACACUGCCUGUUG